rnacentral:rRNA from 1 species
AAGGUGAUGCCUGCCCGGUGACUUAAUGUUAAACGGCCGCGGUAUCCUAACCGUGCGAAGGUAGCGCAAUCAAUUGUCCCAUAAAUCGGGACCCGUAUGAAUGGCUAAACGAGGUCUUAACUGUCUCUUACAGGCAAUCGGUGAAAUUGAUCUCCCUGUGCAAAAGCAGGGAUAUAACCAUAAGACGAGAAGACCCUGUGGAACUUUAAAAACAGCAACCACCCCAAAAUACAUUCACCCCCACCCCGGGCUCACUUAUCUAUUGGGACGAUGGUCUGCAUUUUUUCGGUUGGGGCGACCUUGGAGCAAAACAGAACCUCCAAACAUGGGACCAUAACUCCAGACUAAGAGCAACCCCUCAAAGUGCUAAUAGCCACCAGAUCCAAUUUUAUUGAUCAAUGGACCAAGCUACCCCAGGGAUAACAGCGCAAUCUCCUCCGAGAGUCCAUAUCGAAGGGGAGGUUUACGACCUCGAUGUUGGAUCAGGACAUCCUAGUGGUGCAGCCGCUACUAAGGGUUCG